rnacentral:tRNA from 1 species
AAAAUUAGUUUAUAAAAAAUAUUAAUCUGUCAGAUUAAAGAUACUUUUGAGUAUUUUUUU